GGCGGGGGCGGGGGCGGGGGCGGGGGCGGCGUCCCGUAACGUCGUCAGCUUUAACGACGAGGAGGAGAUCCCGUCGGCAAUCAGCGAUUUGCUCGCCCAGCUGUUCGGCCAAUAGCGAGCGUCUUCUGAGCCCGGUUGCCAUAGCGACGCCCCUGGCUAAUAUAACGCUCCCCCAUUACUAAUGUUGUCAGAGCAGAUAUACGCUCUGUUACUGGCAAUAGAGGCAAAUACUCUGUUACUGGCAAUGGAGAUAUACACACAAUUAAUGUUAAACAGAUAUAAAUACUGUAAUUGUCAGAUCAGAUAUAUAUAUAUAUAUACGUGUUGUUACUAUCAGGGGAGUGUAACACGACUUCCACAUUUUUAGCAUAGAAGUCAACAAAUGGCCUCAUGUAUCACUUUUAGAGCUCUUAGAAUCAUGUAAAAAAUACGCACGUUUUAAAAGUUAUUACCUAUUAUAUAUAUUAUGCGUUUGUUAUGAAUGAACUACUGAUUAUUCUAGCCUAAUAAUUUUAUAUUGAUAUAUGCCAAGAUAUAAAUAAAAUGUUUCAUAUAAAAA